rnacentral:rRNA from 1 species
UAUCACUAAGCGGAGGAAAAGAAACCAACAGGGAUUGCCCUAGUAACGGCGAGUGAAGCGGCAACAGCUCAAAUUUGAAAGCUGGCCUUCGGGUCCGCAUUGUAAUUUGUAGAGGAUGCUUUGGGUGAAACGCCAGUCUAAGUUCCUUGGAACAGGACGUCAUAGAGGGUGAGAAUCCCGUAUGUGACUGGAAAUGUUAACCUAUGUAAAGCUCCUUCGACGAGUCGAGUUGUUUGGGAAUGCAGCUCUAAAUGGGAGGUAAAUUUCUUCUAAAGCUAAAUAUUGGCGAGAGACCGAUAGCGCACAAGUAGAGUGAUCGAAAGAUGAAAAGCACUUUGGAAAGAGAGUUAAAAAGCACGUGAAAUUGUUGAAAGGGAAGCGCUUGCAAUCAGACUUGUUUAAACUGUUCGGCCGGUCUUCUGACCGGUUUACUCAGUUUGGACAGGCCAGCAUCAGUUUCGGCGGCCGGAUAAAGGCUCUGGGAAUGUGGCCUUCACUUCGGUGAAGGUGUUAUAGCCCGGGGUGUAAUACGGCCAGCCGGGACUGAGGUCCGCGCUUCGGCUAGGAUGCUGGCGUAAUGGUUGUAAGCGACCCGUCUUGAAA